AGAGUUCUCUUUUCUUUGUG
rnacentral:ncRNA from 2 species